GACGAACGCUGGCGGCGUGCUUAACACAUGCAAGUCGAACGGAAAGGCCCUGCUUUUGUGGGGUGCUCGAGUGGCGAACGGGUGAGUAACACGUGAGUAACCUGCCCUUGACUUUGGGAUAACUUCAGGAAACUGGGGCUAAUACCGGAUAGGAGCUCCUGCUGCAUGGUGGGGGUUGGAAAGUUUCGGCGGUUGGGGAUGGACUCGCGGCUUAUCAGCUUGUUGGUGGGGUAGUGGCUUACCAAGGCUUUGACGGGUAGCCGGCCUGAGAGGGGGACCGGCAACAUUGGGACUGAGAUACGGCCCAGACUCCUACGGGAGGCAGCAGUGGGGAAUAUUGAACAAUGGGCGGAAGCCUGAUGCAGCAACGCCGCGUGCGGGAUGACGGCCUUCGGGUUGUAAACCGCUUUCGCCUGUGACGAAGCGUGAGUGACGGUAAUGGGUAAAGAGGCACCGGCUAACUACGUG
rnacentral:rRNA from 1 species